AAACCUCACUCUCAUCAUUUUAUUUAUAACUCUCUCCUCAUCUUAUUACACACACGCGUUGGGAGAGAGAAAGUGGAUCUGAUACUCUUAUCUUCAUUCAAGAAAAUCAUCAUAUGGUUCAAGUUUUUCUUCAAAGCUCUCUUCAUUCUUCUUUCCAUUUCACCGACUCUGAAGCUUGAAGACUAUUUGUUUUAUGGGUUUCUUGAGCUUUUAUACUCAAGAACAAAGAAACUUGAUCUACUUUACUUGGUAAGGGCUUUUGGAACUUUUUCUCUCUCAUUUUUUAUUCACAAUUCCAUGAGAUGUUUGCAUUUGCAUAUAGCUGGCCACACAAUAGGUGUGAUGUAUAUCAAUUUAUGGAAACUAAGCUUGUGUUGA